CAUGGAUAACCGUGGUAAUUCUAGAGCUAAUACAUGCACAGAGUCCCGACUUCAGGGAGGGACGUAUUUAUUAGAUCCAAAACCAGCGCGGGUGUCCCCUCGUGGGUGCCCGGUCCCUGGGCGAUUCAUGAUAACUGCUCGAAUCGCACGGCCCUGGAGCCGGCGAUGGUCCAUUCAAAUUUCUGCCCUAUCAACUUUCGAUGGUACGGUAGUGGCCUACCAUGGUUGCAACGGGUGACGGAGAAUUAGGGUUCGAUUCCGGAGAGGGAGCCUGAGAAACGGCUACCACAUCCAAGGAAGGCAGCAGGCGCGCAAAUUACCCAAUCCCGACUCGGGGAGGUAGUGACAAUAAAUAACAAUGCCGGGCUCUCGCAGUCUGGCAAUUGGAAUGAGUCCAAUCUAAACCCCUUAACGAGGAACAAUUGGAGGGCAAGUCUGGUGCCAGCAGCCGCGGUAAUUCCAGCUCCAAUAGCGUAUAUUAAAGUUGUUGCAGUUAAAAAGCUCGUAGUUGGAUUUCGGGGCGGCCCGGCCGGUCCGCCGCGAGGCGAGCACUGGUCGGGCGCCCUUCCUCUCGAAGGCUUCGACUGCUCUUGAUUGCGGUGGUCGAGGAGUUCGGGACGUUUACUUUGAAAAAAUUAGAGUGUUCAAGGCAGGCCGUCGCCUGAAUACAUUAGCAUGGAAUAAUGGAAGAGGACCUCGGUCCUAUUUUGUUGGUUUCCAGGGCCGAAGUAAUGAUUAAGAGGGACAGUUGGGGGCAUUCGUAUUCAAUUGUCAGAGGUGAAAUUCUCGGAUUUAUGGAAGACAA
rnacentral:rRNA from 1 species